UGACAGCCAGGUUUGAUACUGAGCAAACGCUGGUACGACACCAUUUACCUCUCCACUUCUCUCAGAUGCGACCUCUGACCGUGUUUCUGUAGGAAACAACAGGAAGAGAGGAAACAUCACCUGCAGUGUUCAGUAUCCAGUUUUUAUUUCACAGUCACACUGUUAAAUUUGUUUUCUAUAAAGUUACUGAUUCAAUUUGAACUGAUUGACUUGUUCGAAUAGUUUUGUUCCAAAAAAAUUAGAUAGUUCCUGAAUUUUAUCGGCAACCACAAAUAUCGAAUCUAAUUGUUGUUAAAACGAAUCGUGGUUUUUUUCCUGCUUUUUUCCGUUGCCGCUUAUUGCCGUUAACCUGACUCUCGCCAGAUCUUUGUAGUUCGCUGAGCUCCACAAGGAUCUGGGACUUCUCAAUAGG